UACGUAGGGUGCGAGCGUUAAUCGGAAUUACUGGGCGUAAAGCGUGCGCAGGCGGUUCGUUGUGUCUGUGGUGAAAGCCCCGGGCUUAACCUGGGAAUGGCCAUGGAAACUGGCGAGCUGGAGUGUGGCAGAGGGGGGUGGAAUUCCGCGUGUAGCAGUGAAAUGCGUAGAGAUGCGGAGGAACACCGAUGGCGAAGGUAGCCCCCUGGGCUAACACUGACGCUCAGGCACGAAAGCGUGGGGAGCAAACAGG
rnacentral:rRNA from 1 species